CCUACGGGCGGCAGCAGUGAGGAAUAUUGGUCAAUGGACGAGAGUCUGAACCAGCCAAGUAGCGUGAAGGAUGACUGCCCUAUGGGUUGUAAACUUCUUUUAUAUGGGAAUAAAAUGUUCCACGUGUGGUGUUUUGUAUGUACCGUAUGAAUAAGGAUCGGCUAACUCCGUGCCAGCAGCCGCGGUAAUGCGGAGGAUCCGAGCGUUAUCCGGAUUUAUUGGGGGUAAAGGGAGCGUAGGUGGAUUGUUAAGUCAGUUGUGAAAGUUUGCGGCUCAACCGUAAAAUUGCAGUUGAAACUGGCAGUCGUGAGUACAGUAGAGGGGGGCGGAAUUCGGCGUGUAGCGGUGAAAGGCUUAGAUAUCACGAAGAACUCCGAUGGCGAAGGAAGCCCACUGGACUGCAACUGACACUGAUGCUCGAAAGUGUGGGUAUCAAACAGGAUUAGAUACCCGGGUAGUC
rnacentral:rRNA from 1 species